GCCUGUGGCCAUACCAGUCUGAAAGUGCCUGAUCUCAUCACAUCUCAGAAGCCACCCAGUCUCGGUCCUGGUUAGUACUUGUAUGGGAGACUAAGUAGGAACCUCAGGUGCUGUAAGCU
rnacentral:rRNA from 1 species